UCGGCGGUGGCGGGACCGCCCUUGUCGGUGCCGCCGUCGUGGGGCGGGGUGGCCGAGGAGCCGUGGUCCGGUUCGUGGUCCGGGUCGCCGGGC
rnacentral:tRNA from 1 species